AACUGGCAGAUCCCUAAGGAGCUGCAGGAUCCCCAUUGAUCUGCAAGGAGCCAGGACAAUCUGCACAGAGGGUUCUGCAAUAGGUGCCCUACCGGGAAGGGGAUGGGACAAGGAAGGGCAUUUGCCUUGUGCUGACUAGGAAAAGGGGCUGAAUUUCGGUCAGGCUCAGCAAUCCCUGCGCUGAGUGAACACAAGGCCUUGGUGGAGCAAAUGUAGCAGCAGGAGCCCAAGGCAACUUUCCAGGUCCAGGGAUCACCUGAGCAGUGUAGCCUACUAUAAAGAGUGCUUCCGGAGUCAGGUUCUUAUCUACAAUUACAGAAGCCUCCUAAAUCCAGCCCGUCUCCAUCCGGCGUUUACACUGCUCUCCAGCUGUGAGUUCCAUGGCCAGCGUGAGGUGCUUUAGGGAAAGCCUGCUGUUUGCCGUGCUGCUCCUCGCUGGAAACACGCAAAGAG